rnacentral:rRNA from 1 species
CAGUAGCCACGGGAAUACGGAGGAUGCAAGCGUUAUCCGGAAUCAUUGGGCGUAAAGGGUCCUGAGGUGGUUUGCCCAGUCUACUGUGAAAGAUCAGGGCUCAACCCUGAAAAUGCGGUGGAAACUAGCAGGCUAGAAUACGGUAGGGGCAGGGGGAAUUCCCGGUGUAGCGGUGAAAUGCAUAGAUAUCGGGAAGAACACCAAUGGCGAAAGCACCCUGCUGGGCCGAUAUUGACACUGACAGACGAAAGCUAGGGGAGCAAAUGGGAUUAGAUACCCCUGUAGUCCCUGUCUCUUAUAC